UUUUUUUUUUUCCCUCUCUAACAACUAUACAUAGUAUAUGUUCUACAUAUGAAUAAUGAAUCUAUGUGUGUGCAGAGAAAUCUUGAAAGACUGCAGUUUGAUAAGAUCACUAGAUUUUCUUUUCCAGGAAAAGAACCAACAAAGAACUGGGAGUUUCCCCACUGUUGAUAAAGGUAGAACUGAAGAGAAAAACUGAGGGAGAGAGAGAGAGAGAGAAAGAAGCAGAAGAAAAUAAUUGUUGGAGGUGAGUUUAAGUGGGUCAAGGGGGAGGGAAGGCUGUGAAAAAGGGUGUGGAGGACUGAGUUACUAAUAAGUAAACAUGACAAGGGACUGUUUUGCUAAAAAUAGGACAAGUUUUGCAGAGAGAUGAUGAUGGUGACCCAUUUUAUCCUGUUCACUCACCCACUCUCUCUCCAAAACGCGUGUCUUCACUCUCCACAAACAACUGUAUCUAUAGGUUUUUUCCAUCCAUUCAGGCAGGAGGAACCUUCACAGCAAUUGCCUUUUUGCUCUCCUCCAAAUUCUCUCUUGGAGCUGUUGGUGUGUGCACCCAUUGGCCUUCAAUAUGUGUAUCUCCCCCAUUUCCAUGAUUGAGAAAAAUGUGCCCUUAUAUCCAUAAGUGUUUCUGUUAAUUUCUAAAAAGAAAAUAUAUCGUGUUCUAUAGAUAUAUAAUUUUAUCUUAUGUUUUAUAAAUAAAAGAG
rnacentral:lncRNA from 1 species